CCUACGGGUGGCAGCAGUGGGGAAUAUUGGGCAAUGGGCGCAAGCCUGACCCAGCAACGCCGCGUGAAGGAAGAAGGCUUUCGGGUGGUAAACUUCUUUUAAGCGGGAAGAGCAGAAGACGGUACCUCUUGAAUAAGCCACGGCUAACUACGUGCCAGCAGCCGCGGUAAUACGUAGGUGGCAAGCGUUGUCCGGAUUUAAUGGGUGUAAAGGUUGUGCAGCCGGGAAGAGAAGUCUGAUGUGAAAUCCCGCGGCUCAACGGCGGAACUGCAUUUGAAACUGUUUUGCUUGAGUACCGGAGCGGUGAUCGGAAUUCGUUGUGUAGCGGUGAAAUGCGUAGAUAUAAGGAAGAACACCAGUGGCGAAGGCGGAUGACUGGACGGCAACUGACGGUGAGGCGCGAAAGCGUGGGGAGCAAACAGGAUUAGAUACCCGAGUAGUC
rnacentral:rRNA from 1 species